ensembl:snRNA U6 U6 spliceosomal RNA
GUUCUUGCUUCGGCAGUACAUAUACUAAAAUUGGAACCAUACAGAGAAGAUCAGCAUGGCCCCUGCACAAGGAUGACAUGCAAAUUCGUGCAGCGUUCCAUAUUAAG